rnacentral:rRNA from 1 species
UUUUGGUGAGGUGCCUUCCGAGUUCCCUGGAACGGGACGCCAUAGAGGGUGAGAGCCCCGUCUGGUUGGACACCGAUCCUCUGUAAAGCUCCUUCGACGAGUCGAGUAGUUUGGGAAUGCUGCUCUAAAUGGGAGGUAUAUGUCUUCUAAAGCUAAAUACCGGCCAGAGACCGAUAGCGCACAAGUAGAGUGAUCGAAAGAUGAAAAGAACUUUGAAAAGAGAGUUAAAAAGUACGUGAAAUUGUUGAAAGGGAAGCGCUUGUGACCAGACUUGGGCUUGGUUGAUCAUCCGGGGUUCUCCCCGGUGCACUCUUCCGGCUCAGGCCAGCAUCAGUUCGCCCUGGGGGAUAAAGGCUUCGGGAAUGUGGCUCUCUCCGGGGAGUGUUAUAGCCCGCUGCGUAAUACCCUGUG